rnacentral:rRNA from 1 species
AAACUCAAAUGAAUUGACGGGGCCCGCACAAGCGGUGGAGCAUGUGGUUUAAUUCGAUGCAACGCGAAGAACCUUACCUGGUCUUGACAUAGUAAGAACUUUCCAGAGAUGGAUUGGUGCCUUUCGGGAACUUACAUACAGGUGCUGCAUGGCUGUCGUCAGCUCGUGUCGUGAGAUGUUCGGUUAAGUCCGCUAACGAGCGCAACCCUCGCCGUAUGUUACAAGUGUCAUACGGGACCGCCGGUAUCAAGCCGGAGGAAGUGGGGAUGACGUCAAGUCAGCAUGGCCUUUAUGUCUGGGGCUACACACACGCUACAAUGGCCGGUACAAUGGGUAGCUAAGCCGCGAGGUGGAGCCAAUCCCUCAAAGCCGGUCUCAGUUCAGAUCACAGGCUGCAACCCGCCUGUGUGAAGUUGGAGUUGCUAGUAAACGCGCGUCAGCUAUAGUGCGUUGAAUACGUUCUCGGGCCUU